UCGGGAAUUUUGGGCAAUGGGCGAAAGCCUGACCCAGCAACGCCGCGUGAAGGAUGAAGUAUUUCGGUAUGUAAACUUCGAAAGAAUAGGAAGAAUAAAUGACGGUACUAUUUAUAAGGUCCGGCUAACUACGUGCCAGCAGCCGCGGUAAUACGUAGGGACCAAGCGUUGUUCGGAUUUACUGGGCGUAAAGGGCGCGUAGGCGGCAAGUUCAAGUCAUCUGUGAAAUCUCCGGGCUUAACUCGGAACGGUCAGAUGAUACUGCUUUGCUAGAGUGCAGAAGGGGCAAUCGGAAUUCUUGGUGUAGCGGUGAAAUGCGUAGAUAUCAAGAGGAACACCUGAGGUGAAGACGGGUUGCUGGGCUGACACUGACGCUGAGGCGCGAAAGCCAGGGGAGCAAACGGGAUUAGAUACCCUCGUAGUCCCUGAGCGGGCUGGCAAGGCGCAU
rnacentral:rRNA from 1 species